rnacentral:lncRNA from 1 species
AGUUCAAUCAGACAAACUAUACAAGCUAUGCACAAACAAAGCAAGCCAAGGCUCAAGCCUAUGCUUCACAACCUACAAAACACAAUUAUGUUAGUGUACAAACAUCAACAACAUCAAUUAAAGUUAAUUUGAAUCAUUCUCCAUGUGCAUUGCCUUUUUGAUCCUGAAAAAUCAAGCAAACAUUAGCAACUAGACCACUAGGCCAAGCCUAGGGUCCAAAGCAAGAAAAAAUUCCUAAACAGCAA